AUGCCUAUUACGCACUCGAUUUUAUUACAACACUCGCUCGCUGCGCUCGCUCGUGUCGCAAAAUACUCGUGCGAAAUAGGCUUCUUAGCACACUUAUUAUGCAAUACUAUUAUCUACGACUAUUAAAUAACGCUCAAAUAACGUCACUAUAUUUUAGCGAAUUAUGAUAUGCAUUAUUAUCGGUUCCUCUAAAAUCCUUAUAUACAACUACUUUAUGUCACUAUAUAUUUCUCAUAAUUGCAUAUGUAUAAGUUCAUAAUUGCAUAUGUACUAAAAAUAGAACCGCCCAUCUCGUAUGUACUACCUGUCAGUUUUGUUUUGAAUUAAGCAUUUCUUAGGUUAGAAAAGAGAGAUUUCGGGUUACGUACGCUUAACUUUGUAGGUUUAUUUGAAAAACAAUUAAUACAGGAACUUGAUCCACCCCUAUGACGAGAUAUGUGCGAUAUUUAUAAAAUGGGAUGAAAUAAACUUGUAAAAUACCUGAAGUCAUUGGCAAGUUCAGGCAACGUUACUUAACGACAGAUACCUUCGCUGAUUCAAAUAUUCUGCAUGAGCAUGAAUAAGCAUAAUGGAUUAUCGGAAGCCCCAUUUGAAGAUUAUGCUAGGUAUAACCUAUAAGUUUCAGCCUUUUACGAAGAGAAAUAUGUUUCGUACAACAUAUGUGGUAUUGUCGAAAUUGUGCCACGAUACAAAACAAUAACAUAUUGUAAACUCGUUGACAAUAAAGGAUACAAAUUGUCGUAGCACUUAACCACAGUUUUGCAUGAUUUAUUUUAAGAAUUGAUAAUUCGUAACAGGUCUUACAUACUAGGCAUUGACCAAAUUACUUAAAUAGAUGGCUACAAUAUGUACGUUAACUAAUAAAAAACACCUCUUGCCCUUAAAUUUGCAAUAAAACUAUGCUUUCAUUGCUUAAACUUCGUUUCUAAAAGAGGAAGAAACUUCUUGGAUGCAGGUCGGAGAAGCGUAACGAAGUCUUUGAAAAAUUAGAUUAUGUAUGCGAAACAAAAUAUUGUAUUCCAUUUGGCAGCUGUGUAACAAUUUCUGCAGGCAUAAUUGAUACAUCGGGAUCGGAUUUAGAGAAUAAUUGUACAUAGUUACAUCACAUAAAUAUCCACCUUACUUCCAUAGGUUAUGUCACAAUCUAAAA